rnacentral:rRNA from 1 species
UACGUAGGGGGCAAGCGUUGUCCGGAUUCAUUGGGCGUAAAGAGCUCGUAGGCGGUUCAGUAAGUCGGGUGUGAAAGCUCCAAGCUCAACUUGGAGACGCCAUCCGAUACUGCUGUGACUUGAGUACAGUAGGGGAGCGUGGAAUUCCUGGUGUAGCGGUGAAAUGCGCAGAUAUCAGGAGGAACACCAGCGGCGAAGGCGGCGCUCUGGGCUGUAACUGACGCUGAGGAGCGAAAGUGUGGGUAGCAAACAGGA